UUGAACGCUGGCGGCAUGCUUUACACAUGCAAGUCGAACGGUAACAGGCCGCAAGGUGCUGACGAGUGGCGAACGGGUGAGUAAUGCAUCGGAACGUGCCCAGUCGUGGGGGAUAACUACUCGAAAGAGUAGCUAAUACCGCAUACGAUCUAUGGAUGAAAGCGGGGGACCGUAAGGCCUCGCGCGAUUGGAGCGGCCGAUGUCAGAUUAGGUGGUUGGUGGGGUAAAGGCUCACCAAGCCAACGAUCUGUAGCUGGUCUGAGAGGACGACCAGCCACACUGGGACUGAGACACGGCCCAGACUCCUACGGGAGGCAGCAGUGGGGAAUUUUGGACAAUGGGCGCAAGCCUGAUCCAGCAAUGCCGCGUGCAGGAAGAAGGCCUUCGGGUUGUAAACUGCUUUUGUACGGAACGAAACGGCUCUGGUUAAUACCCGGGGCUAAUGACGGUACCGUAAGAAUAAGCACCGGCUAACUACGUG
rnacentral:rRNA from 1 species